rfam:Candidatus Syntrophoarchaeum butanivorans isolate BOX1 BOX1_11reassembly_contig03, whole genome shotgun sequence.
GCCCCGGUAGGGUAGUGGAUAUCCUGAAAGCCUGCGGAGCUUUCGACUCGGGUUCGAGUCCCGGCCGGGGCA